CAGAAAAGAACAAUCUUUCAUUCAUUGAGACGUCAGCGCUGGACUCAACAAAUGUAGAAACAGCUUUCCAGAAUAUCCUCACAGAAAUUUAUCGCAUUGUGUCACAGAAACAAAUCCGGCAAGGGUCGGGUGAGCAGGACGAUCUGAAAACGGAUAACACUAAACCAAUCCAUAUAGCCCCUACGGAGGAUGAUACUAGGAAGAAAUCAACAUGCUGUGCAAACUUAUAGAUCCCUCUCAACUCAUCCCACCCAUCCCCCAUCAUUCCAAAUGUUGUGGUCCAUGUUGUGCUGAUACGCUUCUGUGUUGAUGUGUAAUGCAUUGUAAAUAGGAAGAUAGAAUUCUACAUAUAGGGGUGGUAUGUCAUUAGGAAGGUGGGGAAGGGAAAGAGCAAUUUAUUCCGAAAUACUAUCUGUAAUUUACCUUAAAAUAUACAUGUAAUACUGACAAACUGAAGUAACCAGAUUUAUCUACUAUCAAUUGUAAAAAAAAAACAAUGUUUUUGUUAGUUUUGGGAUUAUUAUUUCUGUGAUUGGUUUUUGUUAUUGCAGAAAUAUACCACAUUGUCUCGCAGAAACAGAUCCGUGAUGGAGGAAGUGGUGAGGACUCCCCCAACGACAACGUACAGACCAUCAAUAUUGACAAAUCCAUUGAUACCGACUCAAAGAAGAAAACAUGUUGUCAGAAUUAGCAGCCUCUGUCUUUUUAUUUGUCUGUCUGUCUGUCUGUCUGUCUGCGUGUAUGUCAGUCUUUCACAUUACAUUAGUGGAUGCACACAUACAGAGGUGGUCAACUUAAUCAUAAUGACAGAUUUUUCUUUAAAAUAAUAAUCUUUUCGUAAGGGGAGUUUGUAAUACUCGAACUCUGUGCUAUUGCUGGAUUUGUCUGAUGUCAGCUCCUAUGUACAGUCUAAGGCCUUCCUAUACAUUGUAUCAUUACACGUAAUUGAAGUUUACUGCUAAGAAGUCGACACAAACUUGCAUGGGAUUUAAACCUUGCAAAUGCUAGUAUUAAAAUCACUGUACUUUAGGUCCUGUGUGUUCACUAUUUAAAGUCGUCUGUUUUUUUACCCACAUGUUCAAGUAUUACAACUUUAAAGUGGGAGAGUCGUCACCUUUGCAUGCGUCAGAUGGCCAUAGCGUGUUUACAACAAGCAUCUACCCAUGAGCCUAUGCGUUUUUAGCAUGUUAUCGUCGCUUGGGACUCUAUUCCCACAUGUGCUCAGGUGACGACCGUCUCGCCUUAACCCUACCCCACAUGUGUUACUGUACGAUAAAAGACAGACAUUGACCAGAAAAUGUGCAGAAAUUUGACCUUGGUGUGAAAAUGCCUAUUCUGCUAGUCACAGUAAGGUUCACAUGUAAUUUAUAAUUACGUUUUCUAGGGUAAUAGAUUCAUAAUUUCUUUUUCAGCCAGUAUAUAUAUAAUAUGUAGUAUAGACACUAAGUGUUCAUCAAUGAAAUGAAUUGUCUGGGCAGUGAUAAAUAAGCAAGCCAUACUCAAGGCAUUUUUUUUUUUUUUUUUUGUUCUGUUGCCAGUGUGGUUCUCGUGUGUGUACAUGCUAUUUUCAAAUCUUGCGUAACGAAUAAAUAUCAUACAUUUAAUUGUUUACAAACAUUAUGUCAGUCAUUUGUACCUGCAACAACUAUCUAUUAAAUGCUUACUGGUGUAUUUAUAUAUACAUGUAUAAAGCACGGUUUAUGCUUUCCAUACCUUUGAAGAUAUUGUCUACACUUCAAUGCGAAAAUGAGAUUCUAAGGUCGUAUAGGUUAAACCGCCCUACAGGCUACUGUCUGUAAGAUGUGUUAUCAUUCUCAACAAGGCUUGUAAUUGGCUGCUUUGUCAUGACAUUAUCACCAAUCAGCACACGUUUUAGAAUGGAGGCAUGGGAGAUUCACUUAUUGGUGUAUUUGCAAGCUACUGGGUGCGACCAGGUUGGCGGGUUUUAUCACGAAGGCAGUGUGGUAACUACCAGGUGCUGCAGAGAGGGCAAGGUUUUUGCAACUUGCAGCCUUAUUGUAUGUUAUUUUCACAAUUUGAGACGUCAAAAUUAAAUAUCAUUUACAUAUGGGCUGUUAAGAAUCGCUAUAUGCUGACUACAAAGUUGUCUGGUUUGCCAACCUUAACUCGCCAAAUUAGUUGUUGCACUCCACUCUUGGUCUCGUAAUACUGCACAUUGCUUUAAUUUUGAGAUGUUCAUAAAAUCGCAAAAUUUUGCAGUGAUAAACAUUUCACUACUGUCUUGGCAUGAAGUUUGUGGCUUUUGUAAAACUGGGUACGGUAUACAGUACAUGCAUGUUUUGACAAAUUUUGAAUGUGCUGUAAUACUGAUGGCAAUGCUGGAAAUUAUCCUUCCUAAGUGACCUAACUGCAACUGUAGGCAGCCUUGGAUUCCUUGACCCCACAUUUCUAUUCUGCCUGUGGCACCUCAGAAGUAAUAAUUAGUCUUGUGUGAACCCACUCCUCUUCAAAGGUGGUUGGUAAAAGUUUUUCUACUAAUUGUCUAGAAGUGUGCAAGGCCAGCCAGUUUAAAUUCUUGAGUAUAGAAUGUGAAUCUAUUGUAACUGAUGUUUGUUCACAAAUUGAUUAUUUUACUAUUAAAUUUGUUGAUUCAAUUUCUUGCUCAUCUGUUUUUGCUUAAUGGUCACUUAGAAGUGGUUGCAAGAAAGUGAUUCUAUGGUGCUAUGCAGCAAUGUGUCUUAAAAGUGAUGCUUUGUAGAGGUUUUGUACGCGCUUUCCUCUUCAAUAUUUCAAUAGUUUUAAUGUAGCAUUGCGCAUGUGUGAAACUCUGUAUCCAAGAGUGUACGAGACUAUUGCACCUUUUGCAACAGUUUAUCCUUCACUGUGUUUAUUACCUUUCAAACUUGCUUUCUGUAAUCUUGAGUAUUGUGCAUUGUUUUUACCUUAUUCUUGUGCUUUAUCUUCAUUGUAUUAUGGUUUUAUCCGUUAAUUGAUGACCAUGCAUCUCCGAUUAGAAGUGCAAGUAAAAUGUCAACUGUUUUAAAUACGAGUCCCAUCGUAAACAGUGCAUAUGAAAAACAGUUUAAAUGAAAUUUAGAUUGUGUGCUUUAUAGCAUCUGCUCUUAACUAAGGGGGUUAAUAUUGUUGAAUUGGCAAGUUUCUUUUGCAAUUCUAACUCUACCCUGCAGCGCUUUCCAAUUUAAUUGUAUAUGCCCCUUAUAAGGACAGUUAUCUCGAGGGGUAUUUCCAAUUGAAUUGAGGAACUAGAGUUGUGGUGCAAAAGGAAUGUUUCCAGAUGACACAAUCGAUUGGGCAAAUGCAAGCACUUCUAAAGAGAGGCUUUUUAGGAUGGGUAGGAUUUUUUGACUUAUUUUCAAAUAAAAACUUUUGCUUUUGUAUGUGUAUACAUGUCAGAUAGCGGAUACUAACCUGAAAGACACAGCUGUGUGGAUAUGACGUCUCGCAGACAAAGUGCUUUAAUAUUGUAAUUGUAGUUUAAUAAAUAAGUUGCUAUUCACACCAGUAAGUUAUUUUACUGACUAACCAGAGGGUGAAAUUAAAAAUGAGUUUACUGUCCACUGGACAACUUGAUGUACCUGUCCCGGGUGAGAUAAAUUACUUCAAUUAAAAUUUUUAGCCUGUCAUUGUUAGUCUUAAAAAUUCUGAAAGCAAUUUUUUUCGACACUUGGGGCUACACUAUUUGGUCAGUGGGUCAAGGACAAAUAUUUCCCAAAAAUAUGCCUGUCUGCGAUGGGCCUUAAUUUCGACCACUGCAGACAUUUCUAAAAUGCUUAAUAUUGCAUCGUACAAAGUGUAUGCUGUUUGUUGAAGUGUUAGAUUCAAAAUGGCAGCCAUCCCACCGUGCAGUGUUCUAAGAGUCUUGUGCGACUUCUACAUUAUCUACACAAGAUUCAAUGGAACCACAACAGAAUAAAAACCUAAUAAUGUUGCUCUGCUAGAUGUAAAGUCCGCACGUUUUAAAAAAAUAAGUGUGUUGUAACUUGCUGGUGAGAAUCAAACUUAAAAUAAUAAAUUAAAAAAAAGUGCAAAUUUUAUCAAUAUCUUGACUGUACAAUAUUGUAAAUAAAAUGAGAGCAUUGCGUUGAUUGAGCUGCACAGUUGCAUUACCUUUACAGUGUCAUUUUUCAUGUUGUGGAAUAUUUUAAUAGAAAAUUAUGUAACCAUGUGAUUCAUCUCAACUGGUUCCACUCUGAAGUGGUGUUAUAUUUCCACAUUUUUCAGCUCCUCUUAAGGAGGUUUGGACUGAAUUCAGGAUUGUCAUUUUCUAUAUGGAAUGUAGAAAUUGAAAAGUUUAAUUCUCCAUGUCUCAAAAUUAUGUUUGGUGACAUUGGAUAAAGAAAUAUUCUGGGAAGUUUCUAGAGUGAUAUUGCAUUGCUCAAACAAGCUGCUUUCCGAUUGGUCCAAAUGUUGGGUGUUCAAGUUUGAUAGCCAAUCAGAUAGUCUUAUAAGUAGCUUCACUUUGACUCAAGACUCCUUAAGAUGAUGAAACAUUGUCUUUUCUGACCCAUUACAGUUGUUCUUAAUUUUGCAGGGUUGCUCUUUCGAAAAAAAAAAUAUAUAUAUAUAUAUUACAAUAGUCUGCACUAACUCGAAAUCUAGCUUAUUUACAAAUAUUAUAGCUGUCUUGUAUAUGGUAUAUCAUAGAAAGAAAUCAUAUUUGUUAUUUGUUUCCUCCAAUAAGUUUGGAGAUUAAUGUGUCAAUGAUUUGAGUGCACUGUACUCUGGGUUUUGUGGCAAAAUAUUUCUAUGCUUAGAAUAAUUUUGUAACUUAGAUCUGUCCUCUUGAUUUGCAAGUUUUCACAACAAUUUAAACAUGUUAAUAAAAUCAUUAGUAUCAGA